GUUGGUGAUUACAGCAAACUGAAAAAAUUGGGGAUAAAUUUUGAACUAUUACCUGAUAAAACGAAAAUGGAACCGGAUAAUAUUUUAGAUUUCGAACAACUCUCAUUUCGUCAUACGACUACAUCUACAUCUGGUCAUUCAUCUGGUUAUGAACAAAAUGUUAUUCGAGACAUCGGUACCACACAUAAGAAUACAAAGGUUAAAACUAAUGAAUUUGAAAAACUUGAUGAACAGGAAGGGAAAUCUUCCAGAAGAGCUCUUAUAUACAAAAGUUAUGUCAAUUCUGGAAUAGGAAGAAUUACUCAACUUGUAC
rnacentral:lncRNA from 1 species